CAAAUUAAAGCUUUGGAGAAGCGUUUUAUUUACAUUAAAGAGAUUAUUUAAUAGGUAUAGUUUGA
rnacentral:tRNA from 1 species